rnacentral:ribozyme from 1 species
UGCCCAGCAACUCCUAUUCCUACCUCCUCGCGGUACUGGCCGGGGUACGUUAACAACGUACGGUACCGACGG